UGGACAUUUAUUUUAAAGAAGUUUUUUCUUACAGGAAGAUAACUUUGUAUAUGUCCUAGAGAAAUAUAAUAGUGUUCCCUGUAUCCUUUUCAAGUAAAAAGGACACAUCGUUCCACUACUGACAUUU